GCCUUUGGCGGAGAGAGCGUCAGCCCCAGCAAUUAUUUUGCUUUCGCAAAAUAAUGCGGGGUAAACUUGCGGAGCUGAAGACCACAGGUUCAAAUCCUGUCGAGGGCA
rnacentral:tRNA from 1 species